rnacentral:tRNA from 1 species
AUUAUUUUGGCAGAUUAGUGCAAUGAAUUUAGAAUUCAUAAAUGUAAUUUUUUAC